UGGGUUUCUGUCGUCCGUCGUCGUGGCAGUUUUUCAAAAAGGCCCCUCGGUUUAAAUGAUAUCAACCCGCACUCCCUGUUUUAGUAAAUAAAUAAUAAAGCAUCUAGACUGUUUCUGACCGCACCGGCAGUGUUGGAGGCCGCCGCGGCGAACGGGGUGCACAGGGUGGCGUAGCAGGGGCUCCCGGCGAGUGGGGAGCAGGAGGCGCAAUGCAUCCCAGCGCCGCACGACGACAGCGAGCCCGUGGCUCACCUGUCGCCCACCAGCGCGGACUCUGAGGCCAUCCCGACGGAGAGAAUCAGGAUGAGGAGGAUGCCCUGCAGCGAGCCAUCCCGACGGCGAGGGCGGCCAUCGUACGCUCGCUCGCUUGCUGUCCGCCGCCGGCAGUCCCCUCCGGCCUUGACGCGGACGGGAGGGAGAGACCCCUGAUGUCGACGUCUCCAUCACGCGGCGCGUCACACGCGGAUCUCGUCGGAGAACCUGAGGGUGGCCGUCCAAGGGGAAGGAGUGGAAGAGGAUGCCGGCAUGCAAGCUGUGCGAGGUGCAGAUCCAGCUGAAGGUCUGCCGCGACCGCACCGUGGCCGGGGCGUGCGCCGACGGCCUGCAAGCAUAGAACGAGAUGAGAGAGAGAGAGAGAGAGAGAGAGAGAGAGAGAGAGAGAGACGCGCGCGCGCACACACACAGGGGAGAGGGAGCGGAGGGGACGAGAUCCGGUGGCGGCGCUCGCUCCGGUGGAACGGGGGGAUGCCAGCGACUUUGCACAUCUAGCGCUGCAUAUUUGUGGAAGCACGGGGAUGAGAAAGAGGGAUGGAGCUAGAGAAGGGAGCUGGAUGCAGAUGAAUCU
rnacentral:rRNA from 1 species